UGGGGAAUUUUGGACAAUGGGCGCAAGCCUGAUCCAGCCAUGCCGCGUGCAGGAUGAAGGCCCUCGGGUUGUAAACUGCUUUUGUACGGAACGAAAAGCCUCUUUCUAAUAAAGAGGGGUGAUGACGGUACCGUAAGAAUAAGCACCGGCUAACUACGUGCCAGCAGCCGCGGUAAUACGUAGGGUGCGAGCGUUAAUCGGAAUUACUGGGCGUAAAGCGUGCGCAGGCGGUCUUGCAAGACAGUGGUGAAAUCCCCGGGCUCAACCUGGGAACUGCCAUCGUGACUGCAAGGCUGGAGUACGGCAGAGGGGGAUGGAAUUCCGCGUGUAGCAGUGAAAUGCGUAGAUAUGCGGAGGAACACCGAUGGCGAAGGCAGUCCCCUGGGCCUGUACUGACGCUCAUGCACGAAAGCGUGGGGAGCAAACA
rnacentral:rRNA from 1 species